GACGUACUCCCUCCGUUCGGAAUUACUUGUCGCAAAAAUGGAUGUAUCUAGACGUAUUUUAGUUCUAGAUACAUCCAUUUCUGAGACAAGUAAUUCCGAACGGAGGGAGUAAUGU
rnacentral:pre_miRNA from 1 species